UGACAGAUGGUUUUACUAGGUGGUAGAGGCGAAUUGUUAUUUAAAGGAGUUCACAGGCCAAGUUAGCCGGCGGGUGGCGAAUCAGUUCUUGCGAUAAGGUAACGAUCACGUCGACUGGAGGACUGGAGUUUAGAACUCGUACUUACCUAACACUUACUCGGUCUUGACUGACUGACCUAGCAUCGAUGCUCUGUCUUGGAAUGGACGUAGAUACAGUAUUACUUACCAUGAGACUAGAACAAGUAUAACAAACAGCCAAGAACCAAAAGGACACACAGAUUAAGUAUAAUCUGAUCAUCUUCAGUAGGCGAAGUAGAAUUGUUGCAACAAAUCUUUGUACAAACAAAUCGAGAUUAUUCUCAAGAGCAUUAUCUGACUAUCCUUCAGCAGACUCCGCACCCUCGAGGAAACAGAACAUGGGCUCCAAUCAUCAGUUUUGGAUCUUGGUCUUUUGUAUAAUCCUACUUCUUCCUGUCUACUCAGCCUACAGUCUACAAGAAAGUGAUGUAGCUACAUAUAAAGACAAAAGACAGUCGCAGAUUCUGACUACUGACUGUGGGUCACUGACGCCAAGGCGCUGCCGGGCAAUACGCUUGAGAAUGUGUGUGGAUAUCUGCGUGGAUAGCUACAUGGUGUUCGUGUGCAGGAGGAGGUCAGGCUGCAGCAUAAUAAGAGAUAGUGAUUAGUGCCCUAGUUCUUCUCGCCUACAUUAACUCUUUCAGCCUGCUGCUAAAAUAGCAAUGGAUGCGGGCCAAAAUGGCUACCAGUUUUUGUUUACAAUAGGGUUAUGGAAAUAUUUUUUAUCUCAUAAACGGUACAUCACAGAUAAAUAAAGUUAUAUAUCAAAUUAAAGCAAAGAUCUUCACCAACACAACUUUUUAAAUCUUUUUGUAGUUUAUUUAAUUUGUAUAGAUGAUUUUACAGGUUGAAUAGGAUGGAAGAAAAUAAAAGAGUAAAAAAAUAUUUUUUGUCUAGGUUUGUUAUACAUAAAAUAUGUAUAAAAUUGCUUGAAAAGAGUAUAUUUUGUACUCUUUUUAAAGUAAAUUUAUUUUGAUAAACAUAAAUUAAGUUUUUUUUUCCUAAUUUCUUGCUUAUUUAUUUUAAUUAAUUUUUUUUUCUAAAUCGCAUAAAUUUUAAUUAAACUACUUUUUUUUUCCAUAUCUAUUAUAAAAUAACUUUUUUUUAUUUCUUUAUUAUUACAGUCACCACAAAUUAUAUAUCAAACUACAUAGAUAUGCAUAAGAAUUCAUUUUUACCCUUUCAUUAUUCUCUUACAUGUAAAUAAUUUGUAAUUUCAUGUCUUAUAUCAUAGUCAAUUUUUUUUCGCAGAUUUUUUUUCUUUGCAAUAACAUCAAUAUAUACUCUUUAUUUUUUUGUAUUGACCAUUUUGACUAAAUACUUUUUAUUAAUUAGAAAGAAGAUUUAUUUCUGAAUAAUUUGAUAUACAACACUUCAACAUGCAGUGAAGAUUAUAAAACAGAUAUUACUUUAGACGCGUAGAGUUUUAAAUCCAAUUGGAAAUCAUUUUUGGCAGAAAACAAUAUCCAGUUAAAUGGGAAUAAUAUUUACUUUUUACACACACACACAUAUAUGUAUAUAUAUAUACAUUUAUUUACAUAACAUUGAUGCCACUGCCACUACUCGAAUGCUAUUGUUUUGCCAGAUCCUCAUGGUAUAGACGAAAACAAUGUUUCACACAGAGCCGAGGUUGCGACGGGCAACCCGAGCAUAAGAAUCUAGUGCGCUUCCGUUGUGAUUGACUCUUGCUAUAGACACAAGGGCGAUCAUUCUCUUCAUAAUGAACAAGAUGAGGCCCAGGUGCUAUUUUGCUAUCAGCUUUAACAGUCUUCACUUUCACCUGUCUGGGAACAUCACCCAGUGCAGUGGCAGCAUUAACUAAACCAUGAAUUACAGUUUCUUUAAAUUUUGUUAAAGAAAGCUUUUUUGAAGGCUGGUCACAUGUAACCUUGUGUGGCAUUAUAAAUGAUGAGGGCAUUAAUCUGUGCAAUUUCUAAUAUCCAGUAGAAGACUUUCUUCCACCAUUUCAUGCUUUUUCUAGAAUGCACAGAAUAAUAAGAGAGCAUUUGGUCUGCCCUGUCGCAACCAUUCAUCAUCCUAUUGUAGUCGUGAACCAUUCAUCAUCCUAUUGUAGUCGUGAACCAUUCAUCAUCCUAUUGUAGUCGUGAACCAUUCAUCAUCCUAUUGUAGUCGUGAACCAUUCAUCAUCCUAUUGUAGUCGUGAACCAUUCAUCAUCCUAUUGUAGUCGUGAACCAUUCAUCAUCCUAUUGUAGUCGUGAACCAUUCAUCAUCCUAUUGUAGUCGUGAACCAUUCAUCAUCCUAUUGUAGUCGUGAACCAUUCAUCAUCCUAUUGUAGUCGUGAACCAUUCAUCAUCCUAUUGUAGUCGUGAACCAUUCAUCAUCCUAUUGUAGUCGUGAACCAUUCAUCAUCCUAUUGUAGUCGUGAACCAUUCAUCAUCCUAUUGUAGUCGUGAACCAUUCAUCAUCCUAUUGUAGUCGUGAACCAUUCAUCAUCCUAUUGUAGUCGUGAACCAUUCAUCAUCCUAUUGUAGUCGUGAACCAUUCAUCAUCCUAUUGUAGUCGUGAACCAUUCAUCAUCCUAUUGUAGUCGUGAACCAUUCAUCAUCCUAUUGUAGUCGUGAACCAUUCAUCAUCCUGUUGUAGUCGUGAACCAUUCAUCAUCCUAUUGUAGUCGUGAACCAUUCAUCAUCCUAUUGUAGUCGUGAACCAUUCAUCAUCCUAUUGUAGUCGUGAACCAUUUCUGGCUUCUCGACAACACUGCGCUUCUGUUGCACAUUCAUGAUGCGAUUGGUGGAUUUUGUGGACACCAUAAUGCAAGGCUUCUUAGCUUUCUUAUCCUGCCAUGCCACACAAAGAGCACCUAUAUUGCCCACACACUUGUAAAAUUGAGUUUCUCUGUGACGCAGCUUUUGCUUCUUGAGCUCGGCAGGGAAAUUUUUCCUAGCCAAGUUGACUGUUCCAGUAUAAUAAAAUCUUUUCUGAGUUAGAUAUUCCAAGAGAUCUGUUGAUGUAUAAUAUCUAUCAGCAAAAAUAUGAUGCCCACUUUGAAGUGGUUGUAGAAGAGUAUCAAAUAUUUUGACUGCAUGGCUGGUAAUACUGUUUGAUGAGUCUGAGUAAGAAGGGUCACUUCCAUAUUUAGUGAUAAGAUUUAUUACAUAACCUGUACUGCUAUCACACAGGCCAUAAUUUUGUAUGUGGUGCUUUUCAGGCUUACUAGGGUUGUACUGUAAUGGUCCAAACCUGCCUUUAAAUCCUAUCACCAUCUCAUCAAUAGCAACCUCCUCAUAAGGAUAAAAUGCCUUUUGAAAAUUUGAACACAUCAUCUUUACGAAGGGUUCAACUUUAUCCUUACCGACCGAGACCGCUUCACCUACAUGCAUCAUGCUAAAGAACAAGAGCUCAAAUCUAGCUCUUGUAAACAUGGUAUUAAACCAUGAUAAUAUAUGUCUUAUUAGACCAAAUGUCCCUGACAGACUUUUUGUUUUGUAGACCUAUCGAAAUAAAAACUGCGAGAAACUUGUACAUUUCUGCAACAUUUGUGUCUGUCCAAUUAUUAAAAGUGGACCUGACAGUAGGAGGAUUGUGUUUUUGAAUCACAAUUUUAGCAUAAUCAUUUAUGCUAUCAACUAAAAAUGUCAUGAUACAACCAUCUACAAGCCUGGUAAAAACAUCAAAUGGUGUAGAAUCUCUUGUCAAAUCUAACUCAGAAUUGACUCCACUUUUAGAAGGCUGGGACAUUCUAAAUGUAUUGGCAGUACUGACAGGACAAUUGUCAGCAACCCUCUCCCAUUACCACCCAUCAUUAUUACCACUAGUUCUAGGUCUAAAAUCAUCUGGUUCUGGAAUUGUAGCAAUAAUACCAGUCCCAUCAUUGUUAGUUUCACUGCCACUAUCACUGUCAGAAUCUGAGUCAACCACAGUAUCAUCAUAUCUAGCUCUUUUCUUCUUCACAAUGUUAUCAUCUACACCAUGAUUUUCUGGCAAAUAUGUGGAAUCAUCUUCACUAUCACUAUCACUAGAACUUUCUAAAGCUAAAAACAAUUGAGUAGCUUGUGCUACCGCUAAUCUUUUAGGCCUACCACUAACACUACUGCAUCCAGGCAUAGCAUCCAUGUUUGUUUAUGUUUGCUAAGCAACACGCUAAUUAAAAUAUUAUUAAAACAAAAAAAAACAAAAACAAUCCAGGUUAUUGCAUAAAGACGCUUAAAAAAGGAAGGUUUCGUUUCUUUUUACUAUUUUUGUUUUUAGAAAUAACUUUAAAAACUCUAACUACAAGAAACGGACUAAUUUUAGAAGGGCCCCCCCCCCACCCCAAAAGCCAGUGUACUGGCAAAACAGGCUGAAAGAGUUAAGAUUUCAACUUCACUGAACCCAGCUUUCUACAAGAUCUCGUAUGGACAAAGCAUUCGACGAGAUCUCGUUUGGACCAAAAUUAAACCAGAUCUCGUAUGGACAAAGCAUUCAACGAGAUCUCCGAUGGACCGAACAUUCAAAAUUCUCGUAAGGACCAAGCAUUUAACGAGAUUUCGAAUGGACCAAGCCUUCAGCGAGAUCUCGUAUUAUUUUUUAUAAUUUAUUUUUAUUUGAGAUGUCGCGGAGAGAGUAACUGGCAAUCUUUUGCUAAGUGUAGUCUCUGAUAAAGGCUGUAAUUGUAAUUCUAUAUUUGUAAGUUAUGGAUCGUUGUUUUACGAAGCCUAUUAUUGCUAUUUUACUUUUUUAGUCUUCUGUCCUGUAGUUUUUCUAAAUUUAGUGAUUUUACAGAUGGUGUUGGUUAAUGUAGUGAAAUGGGAAUAAUCGUUUGCUGUACCCCAUGACUCUAUUUUGGUCUGUACUAGUUUCUAUAAAAGUUUUUUUUCUUGUAAUAGUUUUAUUCCAAACAGAGGACGCAUAUUCUAACAUUGGUCUAACCAGGUUGAAUAGCAUUUAGUUUUAUGUUUUAUGAUUAAUUUGGCAAAAAAAAAAUCUUUUGAUUAAAAAAAAAGCCUAAUGCUU